rnacentral:rRNA from 1 species
CAGCCGCCACGGUAAUACGAAGGGUGCAAGCGUUACUCGGAAUUACUGGGCGUAAAGCGUGCGUAGGUGGUGGUUUAAGUCCGUUGUGAAAGCUUUGGGCUCAACCUGGGAAUUGCAGUGGAUACUGGGUCACUAGAGUGUGGUAGAGGAUAGUGGAAUUUCCGGUGUAGCAGUGAAAUGCGUAGAGAUCGGAAGGAACAUCUGUGGCGAAGGCGACUAUCUGGGCCAACACUGACACUGAGGCACGAAAGCGUGGGGAGCAAACAGGAUUAGAUACCCCCGUAGUCCCUGUCUCUUAUAC